UUGUGAGGCAUCUCCGGGUAGGGCGCCGGCCUAAGUUCCUUGGAACAGGACGUCACAGAGGGUGAGAAUCCCGUGCUUGGCUGGCUGUCCCCGUCCAUGUGAGGUGUCUUCGACGAGUCGAGUUGUUUGGGAAUGCAGCUCAAAAUGGGUGGUAAAUUUCAUCUAAAGCUAAAUAUUGGUGGGAGACCGAUAGCGCACAAGUAGAGUGAUCGAAAGAUGAAAAGCACUUUGAAAAUAGAGUUAAAAAGUACGUGAAAUUGUUGAAAGGGAAGCGCUUGAGAUCAGACUUCGGUAGGGGGUGAUCAGCCGUCCUUCUGGGCGGUGCACUUGCCCCUCUCCGGGCCAGCAUCGGUUGAGGCGGCGGGAUAAAGGUCCCGGGAAUGUGGCUCCUUCGCGGGAGUGUUAUAGCCCGGGUGAAUGCCGCCAGUCUCGACCGAGGACCGCACCCGCAAGGGUUAGGAUGCUUGGCAUAAUGGUCUUCAGCGAC
rnacentral:rRNA from 1 species